CACUUGUAUGCACGAAGAUGAGCAUUCCCAAAGGGCUUUCCUGGACUCAGUCUGUAGAGUGGGACAUCAAUUGACCAAAAAAGGACUCGCUGCAAAGAACACCAGAAUGCCUGAGACUUCCGUGCAUCUAUACGUCAAAAGGUUGGUGGGCUAGAGCAAUGGAACUAGGGAAGCAGCCCCCUCCCCUCCGAAGGCAGUGGCAAUACAAAAUGUGUAUGCUGCCAGCGGUGGUUCUGGUGUCCUAACCUGAGGAGCACAGCUGCAUGCAUCAGCAGCCUGAGGCUACAGGAGCAGGCAUGGUGCUUGUUGCAUAGCCCCUCUUUGUCCCAGCAGUGGUGGGUCGUGCACACGACCUGAGGCUUCAGGACACACAGCAGUGCCAGCGACCCAGCUCCCUCUCUCUCUCUCUGACAGUGGCUCUGGUGUUUCCAGCCGUGGGUACAGCAUCCACAGCACAGAUAUCCACAGCAAGGGUGGUGGUGCUCUGACCUGAGAUUUCAAAAUGCUCACCAGCGCGGGCCAGUGACCAGAGACUGCAGGAAGAACAAUGACAUUCGGUUUAGCCCUACCCCACCCCCACGAUGGUGGGGGGCGCCCAUGCCCUGAGACUGCAGGCAACACAGCAGUGCCAGUGAACGAGCCCCCUCCGUUUCCCCAGGCAGCAAUGACUCUGACCCUGGUCUUUCAACAUCAAGGGCUGCAUUCAAAAUGCAGAUACCACUGGCAGAGGCAGUGGUGCCCUGAUGCGAGGUUUCAAAAAUCACACUUACCCACAACAACCACCAGAGGCUACAGGAGGAGAAAAGGUACUUCUGGCUUCACACCUGCCCCUCCCACAGCAGUGUAAGGUAGCAUCUUCAACCUGAG
rnacentral:lncRNA from 1 species